rnacentral:rRNA from 1 species
UGGGGAAUUUUGGACAAUGGGCGAAAGCCUGAUCCAGCAAUGCCGCGUGUGUGAAGAAGGCCUUCGGGUUGUAAAGCACUUUUGUCCGGAAAGAAAUCCUUGGCUCUAAUACAGUCGGGGGAUGACGGUACCGGAAGAAUAAGCACCGGCUAACUACGUGCCAGCAGCCGCGGUAAUACGUAGGGUGCAAGCGUUAAUCGGAAUUACUGGGCGUAAAGCGUGCGCAGGCGGUUUGCUAAGACCGAUGUGAAAUCCCCGGGCUCAACCUGGGAACUGCAUUGGUGACUGGCAGGCUAGAGUAUGGCAGAGGGGGGUAGAAUUCCACGUGUAGCAGUGAAAUGCGUAGAGAUGUGGAGGAAUACCGAUGGCGAAGGCAGCCCCCUGGGCCAAUACUGACGCUCAUGCACGAAAGCGUGGGGAGCAAACAGGAUUNGAUACCCUGGUAGUCCACGCCCUAAACGAUGUCAACUAGUUGUUGGGGAUUCAUUCCUUAGUAACGUAGCUAACGCGUGAAGUUGACCGCCUGGGGAGUACGGUCGCAAGAUUAAAACUCAAAGGAAUUG